rnacentral:rRNA from 1 species
UACGUAGGGUGCAGGCGUUAAUCGGAAUACUGGGCGUAAAGCGUGCGCAGGCGGUUUUGUAAGUCUGUCGUGAAAUCCCCGGGCUUAACCUGGGAAUUGCGAUGGAGACUGCAAGGCUAGAAUCUGGCAGAGGGGGGUAGAAUUCCACGUGUAGCAGUGAAAUGCGUAGAGAUGUGGAGGAACACCGAUGGCGAAGGGCAGCCCCCUGGGUCAAGAUUGACG